UACGUAGGUGGCAAGCGUUAUCCGGAUUUAUUGGGCGCAAAGGGAACGCAGGCGGUCUUUUAAGUCUGAUGUGAAAGCCUUCGGCUUAACCGGAGUAGUGCAUUGGAAACUGGGAGACUUGAGUGCAGAAGAGGAGAAUGGAAUUCCUAGUGUAGCGGUGAAAUGCGUAGAGAUUAGGAAGAACACCAGUGGCGAAGGCGAUUCUCUGGGCUGUAACUGACGCUGAGGCUCGAAAGCGUGGGGAGCAAACAGG
rnacentral:rRNA from 1 species